CAAUAGCAUAUAUUAACGUUGUUGCAGUUGAAAAGCUCGUAGUUGAACUUUUGGUAGGAGCGACCUGGCCUUGGGCGCAUGCCCUUGUUUGCCGUGUGUCGUGUCUGGCCAUCCUUUUCUUCUUUUUGGAAGGAAUCCUUUACUGUGAGUAAACUGGAGUGCUCAAAACAAGACGUUUGUUUGGUACAUUAAAGCAUGGAAUAAUAAGAUAGGACCUGGUUACUAUUUUGUUGGUUUGCAUAGCUAGGUAAUGAUUAACAGGGACAGUUGGGGGUAUUCGUAUUUAAUUGUCAGAGGUGAAAUUCUUGGAUUUAUGAAAGACGAACGACUGCGAAAGCAUUUACCAAGGAUGUUUUCAUUA
rnacentral:rRNA from 1 species